GCCGAAGUUAUGACACCCACUCAACUCGGGGAGGUGAGCAUGACGAGUUCCGCCGUAUCCGACAUCAAACCCUCUCACCGUGUGCACUCCCGCACUCCAGCCGCUGGUGCUAGGCGCCGGCCGCGAACUCGACGGCCCCUCUGCUCUGGAGAGGCGCACCGGCUCUGCGUGCGCUAGAUUUAAGUGGCAUCAUCGUAUAGCACAUUCCUGCGCUCGAAGGGCGAACACCUGCGCCAGAGGUUCUGCUCCUGAAGCCGUGGCCUGCCGUGAGUACCAUCCCUACGCUGCUGAGGUGCUGCAUGCUCCAUGGCUCUGCCAUGCACCCGAAAACGUACGUUAACGCUUACGGGUACGGGUACGGAUUAGGGUUAGGGUUUUUCUCUCCACUGAUUCCUUGCACAGCGACACCCUCUCCAACAGGACGGGGGCGUGACGGUGUACUGGUGUACUGGUUAGGGUUAGGGUUAGGGUUAGGGUUAGGGUUAGGGUUAGGGUUUUUCUCUCCACUGAUUCCUUGCACAGCGACACCCUCUCCAACAGGACGGGGGCGUGACGGUGUACUGGUGUACUGGUUAGGGUUAGGGUUAGGGUUAGGGUUAGGGUUAGG
rnacentral:misc_RNA from 1 species